UACAGAGGGUGCAAGCGUUAAUCGGAAUUACUGGGCGUAAAGCGCGCGUAGGUGGUUUGGUAAGUCGGAUGUGAAAUCCCCGGGCUCAACCUGGGAACUGCAUUCGAAACUGCUUGACUAGAGUUUGAGAGAGGGAAGUGGAAUUCCACAUGUAGCGGUGAAAUGCGUAGAUAUCCGGAGGAACACCGGUGGCGAAGGCGGCUUCCUGGACCGACACUGACGCUGAGGCGCGAAAGCUAGGGGAGCAAACGGG
rnacentral:rRNA from 1 species